CCGAGUUUACAACUCCCAAACCCCUGUGAACAUACCUACUUGUUGCCUCGGCGGAUCAGCCCGCGCCCGUAAAACGGGACGGCCCGCCAGAGGACCCCUAAACUCUGAAUUUCUAUAUGUAACUUCUGAGUUAAAACCAUAAUAAAUCA
rnacentral:misc_RNA from 1 species